rnacentral:rRNA from 1 species
GGGUCAGUAGGUUGGUCGUGCCACUGGUACGUACUGGUCUCACUGAUUCCUCCUUCCUGAAGAACCGUAAUGCCAUUAAUUUGGUGUUGCGGGGAAACAGGACUGUUACUUUGAAAAAAUUAGAGUGUUUAAAGCAGGCUAACGCUUGAAUACAUUAGCAUGGAAUAAUGAAAUAGGACGAUCGAUCCUAUUUUGUUGGUUUCUAGGAUUGACGUA